rnacentral:rRNA from 1 species
AGUGAACGCUGGCGGUAGGCCUAACACAUGCAAGUCGAACGGCAGCACAGUAAGAGCUUGCUCUUACGGGUGGCGAGUGGCGGACGGGUGAGGAAUACAUCGGAAUCUACUUUUUCGUGGGGGAUAACGUAGGGAAACUUACGCUAAUACCGCAUACGACCUACGGGUGAAAGCAGGGGAUCUUCGGACCUUGCGCGAUUGAAUGAGCCGAUGUCGGAUUAGCUAGUUGGCGGGGUAAAGGCCCACCAAGGCGACGAUCCGUAGCUGGUCUGAGAGGAUGAUCAGCCCCACUGGAACUGAGACACGGUCCAGACUCCUACGGGAGGCAGCAGUGGGGAAUAUUGGACAAUGGGCGCAAGCCUGAUCCAGCCAUACCGCGUGGUGAAGAAGGCCUUCGGGUUGUAAAGCCCUUUUGUUGGGAAAGAAAAGCAGCAGGUUAAUACCCCGCUGUUCUGACGGUACCCAAAGAAUAAGCACCGGCUAACUUCGU